ACUACCGCUCUUCCCACCAUACACACCUGCCGGCCAUCAACUCCAAUCAAGCCCAGUAUAUAAACCCCGGAUUGACUCACCACCUUCGCUUGAUCGUUGCUCCUGCCUACUUGCCAUUGCCUUCCUCGUCACUCUGCCUCCAGUCAGCUGGCUCCUCCAUCCAGUUCCCCCUCACGGUUUCCUGCACCAGCCUGCCUCAGCCCUCGCCUCUCCGCGCUCCAGUACUUCCCUGUCGAGUUCUCAGACCCGGUCUCCCCGUGCCUCUGUUCCCGGUUCCAGCCCCCGUGCCUGUGCUCCCCUCUCUGGCAUCCACCUCCCCACUUCCCCAUUCACUUUCCCACUUUUCCUAAUAAAGUGAUUUGUGCUGA